ensembl:lncRNA
UAAGAUAAUUUAACUCAACACUCGAUUAAUUUAAUACCACCUGUGCAAAUCAGGAUUAGCUGGAUUGGUGUUGCCUAUAAAACAUGGAAUGAACCAAGAAAAGAUUAAAAUUGUAUGCAACUGAGAAGCAAAUGGCAAUGGAAGUUGAAAGGAGAGUGCAAUCAAAGAACUUUUCUGAACAUGAGAAAAGUCUUUUAAAGCAAAUAGUUUCGAGACAUCCUGUUAUCGAAGAUAAAACUGCACACAUCAGCUGUUGAAUCCAAAAAAGGAAUGCAUGGAAAUCUAUUUGUAAUGAAUUUAAUGCAAAUGAACACACAUUUACAUGAACAAUACAACAACUUCAAGUAAGCUCAUUAGCUUUAUUAUGGCUUUUUACAAUCACUGUUGUCAUUGUAGUAGUUAUUUAAUGUAGGUGUUGUGGAAAAAUAUCAAAAUAAACCUCAAAAAACUUGCUAAAGAGAGGUUUAAGACUGGAGGAGGACCUGCAAAUAAAGCCUGUGAUUGUAUUGGAUGAGUUACUGACAAGAAUACUGGAGAAUCAACAACCUUUGGAGAACAUACCAGAUGAUGACCAUCUAGAUGGUUCAGAUGAUGGAUCACAUGCACCUAUAUUAAGAGGUCAAAACAGAACUGAAGAAUUGGAAAGCAGCUUACCCUCCACAUCCUCAGAAGCAAGGGUUGCAUUGUCUGCCAGUACUGGUCAACAGAAGAAAAGACUCACUGUUCAUGAAAAGUUGGAUGAUGAUUUUCAUGAACAUAAAUUGAAGUAUCUUGAGGAGCAUGAAGAUACAAGUAGAACUGGAGAUAAAGAUGAAGGAGAGAGCAGGCUCAAAUGUCACAUCAGUACAUGAAUCUGUGAAAUAAAUAUUGUUUUAUGACGAAAAGAUGGAUGUUGUGGUGGUUUCAGUAACAUACCAGACAAAAGUGGACACUUCUAACACAUAUUUGGUUUUUAUCAUUACAUGUAUCAGAUCUGAGCGGAAGGGUGAAAGGUAAAAAAUAUAAAAAUCUAUUUAAAGUGGCACAAUGCAAAAGCAUCCCUGUAUGCAAGUCCUUCUCUGUGGUUUGUUGUAAAUGGUGGCACAUCUGGAUUGUCAUCCUCUUCUAUUGGGGGAUCUGGGCAUCCCUGCUUUUUUAGGUAGUUGUGAAGAACAGCUGUUGCAAUGAUGACAGUGCAGCAUCUACUUGGUUUGAAUCUAAGUGUUUUUAAAGCACUGUAAGCGACUCUUCCAAACAUGCGCUUGACUAAACCCCUUCUGCGCAUCUGAACCUGGUUGUAGCACAGUUGUUGGGUGCAAGUAUGUUGUAAACAAGAAAUCCUUCUGAG